rnacentral:lncRNA from 1 species
UUCCUGCCGCUCUGAGGACAUCCUGCUGCUUGUGAGAGAGCAGGCCGGGCACACCUCUGCACCAUGCAAUGCAGCAUCAUGUGUGAGACCUCUCUACUACCCCUAAAGGAACCGUUUUCCAGACCAGCCAGGGAAGGCACUGCACACAAUAGCUUGGAGGAAUAAUAGAAGGCUCAGAGAAGACGUCAAACUCUGCCACAAGCCAAACAAGCUCUUGCUCAAACUUCAGGCUGCGGAGGGUCAGGGAUAAAGACAGCUGCCGACACGACUUUGAGUGUACCUCCUUCUCAGGGCAGUCCUCGGGCGGCACAGAGCUGGCUCCAUAAGAACUGUGCUUCCUUCAGCUGUGCAAGAGAGAAAGGGGAGGGAGGUAUCGACCUUUCAUCACUGACCAGCAGAUGCAGGGCUACCCUGGAUUCACUCAAGGAAAUUCAGGUGACAGUGGAAAGCGGCUCCCUAGAAAACUUCAUCUGCA